AUGCAGCUUACCUUGAUUUUCUUCUAUGUGCUGUUCUGGUUCACAGAAAUUUCUCUUGGUUCAUCCAUUGAUCAACCUCCUGACAUGAUAAAGCAUCUGGGAGACACUGUGAACAUCAGCUGCACUCACACUUACAGCAGCUAUUACUAUCUUUACUGGUACCAACAAACAACACAAGGAGAAUCCUUCAAACUUCUUGGGCACCUUUACACGACAACAUUCAAUUCUGAGAAGGACUAUAAGCGCUUUCAGAUUUUUGGGAACUCACAAACCCACGGAACACUUCAGAUCUCCACUGUUACUUCAGAAGAUAGUGCAAUGUAUUUCUGUGCUGUGAGCGACACAGUUUGACAAAACUCUGCUGUGUACAACAAAAACACCUGUCCUGCUCAUAAAGUUUCAUAGUAGUUCAUAGUAAAAGGAUCAUAGUAGAGCCAUAUUUAUCAGUAUUGGUUUAAAGUAGCGAAUCAUCAUAUUUAUGUAUUUAUUUAUUUACUUGCAGAAACCUCACAAGUGUUCUGUUGCAUAUUACUGAACUUUAGUAAUAUAGGAACAAUGCAAACAUGCUUCUCUUUUGAUGGGCAUUAUCCAGAAAGCUGAAAAGCCAUUGUGUGUUAUCCAGAAAGAGCUGAAAAGCCAUUGUGUGCCUUCAAGAAUUUAAACAAUUUCACACACAAUCAUGUUUAUACUUUUCUAUACAUUGUAUAAAUUGAAACAGAUCAUACAAGUAACCAGGAAGCAAUAUCAUCCUUGAUUUACUUUAAAAUAAUUCAGCAGUUUUUGCUAUUUUUCUUUUCUUAGCUGUGUUUUUUAAAAGGUCUGUGGGGACUACAUUAAAAUAGGUUAAUUAUAAUUAAAUUAUCAUCAUGAUAAUUAUGAAAAUGUAGAUUAAAUUCAAUAUCUGGAAUAUUCAAAACUGCAAAUGAACUGUAUUAUUUUCUGGACACUUAACUGCAUGUUUAUUGCAAUUAAACAAAAAUUAGUUUAAAUCUAUAUUAAAUUAUAUUAUAUUUAUAUAUUUAUUCAAUUAGUUUAAAUCAAUAAUAUUUUUUUAACCACUUAAGUAGAACUUAAGUACACACAUAUACAUACACACACACUACUGUCUUUAAAAUUAAUUUAAAAUGCACUGCCAAAUACUGUCAACCAUUUAUGGUAAACUAAAAUAUACUUUCAAAUCAUUUAUACUGAAACAUGUAUGUCAUGUAUGUAGCCUACAACACAUUUUAGUACAUUCAAAUAAAUUACUGUUAUACUGAAUAAUACAGUACAGUUCAAGUGUACAUGCAUAUGUUAAGAAACGGUCAUGAAACUUACUUUCUUUAAAUACACUUAAGCGGACAUUAUUUAAUUAAUAUUAAAACUACAAGUGCACGUUUAAUACAAUUAAGUACACUUCUUUUUCACGAGGGUAAUCAUCAGCCAUGCAUGUAAACUUUUAACCAACAUAGAUAAAAAAAUAAUAAAAAAAAAAAAUAAAUAAUAAUAAUAAUAAUAAUAAUAAUAAUAAUAAUAAUAGUUUAGACAGCACAUAAAAUGCUGUUUUUGUAAGCAUACCGGCUCUACACGGAAGCUAUAGAACCCAGCAAACGUGUUAGGGGUCGC
rnacentral:lncRNA from 1 species